rnacentral:rRNA from 1 species
CCUACGGGCGGCAGCAGUGGGGAAUAUUGGACAAUGGGCGAAAGCCUGAUCCAGCCAUGCCGCGUGUGUGAAGAAGGCCUUCGGGUUGUAAAGCACUUUCAGUGGGGAAGAAAGCCUUGGGGCUAAUACCCUCGAGGAAGGACAUCACCCACAGAAGAAGCACCGGCUAACUCCGUGCCAGCAGCCGCGGUAAUACGGAGGGUGCGAGCGUUAAUCGGAAUUACUGGGCGUAAAGCGCGCGUAGGCGGUCUGAUAAGCCGGUUGUGAAAGCCCCGGGCUCAACCUGGGAACGGCAUCCGGAACUAUCAGGCUAGAGUGCAGGAGAGGAAGGUAGAAUUCCCGGUGUAGCAGUGAAAUGCGUAGAGAUCGGGAGGAAUACCAGUGGCGAAGGCGGCCUUCUGGACUGACACUGACGCUGAGGUGCGAAAGCGUGGGUAGCAAACAGGAUUAGAUACCCGGGUAGUC